rnacentral:rRNA from 1 species
AAGGUUGAAACUCAAAGGAAUUGACGGGGGCCCGCACAAGCAGUGGAGCAUGUGGUUUAAUUCGAAGCAACGCGAAGAACCUUACCAGGUCUUGACAUCCUCUGACAAUCCUGGAGACAGGACGUUCCCCUUCGGGGGACAGAGUGACAGGUGGUGCAUGGUUGUCGUCAGCUCGUGUCGUGAGAUGUUGGGUUAAGUCCCGCAACGAGCGCAACCCUUGAUCUUAGUUGCCAGCAUUUAGUUGGGCACUCUAAGGUGACUGCCGGUGACAAACCGGAGGAAGGUGGGGAUGACGUCAAAUCAUCAUGCCCCUUAUGACCUGGGCUACACACGUGCUACAAUGGACGGUACAAAGGGCAGCAACACCGCGAGGUGAAGCGAAUCCCAUAAAGCCGUUCUCAGUUCGGAUUGCAGGCUGCAACUCGCCUGCAUGAAGCCGGAAUUGCUAGUAAUCGCGGAUCAGCAUGCCGCGGUGAAUACGUUCCCGGGCCUUGUACACACCGCCCGUCACACCACGAGAGUUUGUAACACCCGAAGUCGGUGGGGUAACCUUUAUGGAGCCAGCCGCCGAAGGUGGGACAAAUGAUUGGGGUGAAGUCGUAACAAGGUAGCCGUAUCGGAAGGUGCGGCUGGAUCACCUCCUUU